rnacentral:rRNA from 1 species
GAUGAACGCUGGCGGCGUGCCUAAUACAUGCAAGUCGAGCGAACAGAUGAGGAGCUUGCUCCUCUGACGUUAGCGGCGGACGGGUGAGUAACACGUGGAUAACCUACCUAUAAGACUGGGAUAACUUCGGGAAACCGGCGCUAAUACCGGAUAAUAUAUUGAACCGCAUGGUUCAAUAGUGAAAGACGGUUUUGCUGUCACUUAUAGAUGGAUCCGCGCCGCAUUAGCUAGUUGGUAAGGUAACGGCUUACCAAGGCAACGAUGCGUAGCCGACCUGAGAGGGGGAUCGGCCACACGGGAACUGAGACACGGUCCAGACUCCUACGGGAGGCAGCAGUAGGGAAUCUUCCGCAAUGGGCGAAAGCCUGACGGAGCAACGCCGCGUGAGUGAUGAAGGUCUUCGGAUCGUAAAACUCUGUUAUUAGGGAAGAACAAAUGUGUAAGUAACUAUGCACGUCUUGACGGUACCUAAUCAGAAAGCCACGGCUAACUACGUG